rnacentral:tRNA from 2 species
GGGGCUAUAGCUCAGCUGGGAGAGCGCUUGACUGGCAGUCAAGAGGUCAGGGGUUCGAGCCCCCUUAGCUCCACCA